GACGAACGCUGGCGGCGUGCUUAACACAUGCAAGUCGAACGGUAAGGCCCUUCGGGGUUCACGAGUGGCGAACGGGUGCGUAACACGUUGGUAAUCUGCCCUGCACUUCGGGAUAAGCCUGGGAAACUGGGUCUAAUACCUGAUAUUCAGUUCCUGCCACAUGGUGGGGGUUGGAAAGUUUUUUGGUGCAGGAUGAGCUCGCGGCCUAUCAGCUUGUUGGUGGGGUAAUGGCCUACCAAGGCGACGACGGGUAGCCGGCCUGAGAGGGUGAUCGGCCACAAUGGGACUAAGACACGGCCCAGACUCCUACGGGAGGCAGCAGUGGGGAAUAUUGCACAAUGAGCGAAAGCCUGAUGCAGCGGCGCCGCGGGAGGGAUGACGGUCUUCGGAGUGUAAACAACUUUCAGUAGGGACGAAGCGGAAGUGACGGUACCUGCAGAAGAAGCACCGGCCAACUACGUG
rnacentral:rRNA from 1 species